CUUCUGUGAUGAUACGAUGACGAAUAAGAAAUGGACACGGUCCUGCUCGGAGUAACCAGCUCAGGGCCACGUUCUGUGGGGCUGUGCUGGGAUGCUCUGGCAAGUGUCUUCUCCAUUGGAUGAUCUGGAAGCCUAUUUCUGAGAAGG